GACGAACGCUGGCGGCGUGCCUAAUACAUGCAAGUCGAGCGAGCUUGCCUAGAUGAAUUUGGUGCUUGCACCAGAUGAAACUAGAUACAAGCGAGCGGCGGACGGGUGAGUAACACGUGGGUAACCUGCCCAAGAGACUGGGAUAACACCUGGAAACAGAUGCUAAUACCGGAUAACAACACUAGACGCAUGUCUAGAGUUUAAAAGAUGGUUCUGCUAUCACUCUUGGAUGGACCUGCGGUGCAUUAGCUAGUUGGUAAGGUAACGGCUUACCAAGGCAAUGAUGCAUAGCCGAGUUGAGAGACUGAUCGGCCACAUUGGGACUGAGACACGGCCCAAACUCCUACGGGAGGCAGCAGUAGGGAAUCUUCCACAAUGGACGCAAGUCUGAUGGAGCAACGCCGCGUGAGUGAAGAAGGGUUUCGGCUCGUAAAGCUCUGUUGGUAGUGAAGAAAGAUAGAGGUAGUAACUGGCCUUUAUUUGACGGUAAUUACUUAGAAAGUCACGGCUAACUACGUGCCAGCAGCCGCGGUAAUACGUAGGUGGCAAGCGUUGUCCGGAUUUAUUGGGCGUAAAGCGAGUGCAGGCGGUUCAAUAAGUCUGAUGUGAAAGCCUUCGGCUCAACCGGAGAAUUGCAUCAGAAACUGUUGAACUUGAGUGCAGAAGAGGAGAGUGGAACUCCAUGUGUAGCGGUGGAAUGCGUAGAUAUAUGGAAGAACACCAGUGGCGAAGGCGGCUCUCUGGUCUGCAACUGACGCUGAGGCUCGAAAGCAUGGUAGCGAACAGG
rnacentral:rRNA from 1 species